rnacentral:rRNA from 1 species
UACGUAGGAGACGAGCGUUGUCCGGAGUUACUGGGCGUAAAGGGUGCGCAGGCGGCCUGGCGCGUCGCGAGUGAAAUCUCCUGGCUCAACUGGGAGGGUGGUCGCGAGACGGCUGGGCUUGAGGCUCGGUGAGGGGCGUGGAAUUCCGGGUGGAGCGGUGAAAUGCGUAGAGAUCAGGAGGAACACCGGUGGCGAAGGCGGAUCUCUGGGCCGUAACUGACGCUGAGGAGCGAAAGCAUGGGGAGCGAACAGG